rnacentral:rRNA from 1 species
UAGGGAAUCUUCCGCAAUGGACGCAAGUCUGACGGAGCAACGCCGCGUGAGUGAAGAAGGUUUUCGGACCGUAAAACUCUGUUGUUAGAGAAGAACAAGUGCUAGAGUAACUGUUAGCGCCUUGACGGUAUCUAACCAGAAAGCCACGGCUAACUACGUGCCAGCAGCCGCGGUAAUACGUAGGUGGCAAGCGUUGUCCGGAUUUAUUGGGCGUAAAGCGAGCGCAGGCGGUUCCUUAAGUCUGAUGUGAAAGCCCCCGGCUCAACCGGGGAGGGUCAUUGGAAACUGGGGAACUUGAGUGCAGAAGAGGAGAGUGGAAUUCCAUGUGUAGCGGUGAAAUGCGUAGAUAUAUGGAGGAACACCAGUGGCGAAGGCGACUCUCUGGUCUGUAACUGACGCUGAGGCUCGAAAGCGUGGGUAGCAAACAGGAUUAGAUACCCUGGUAGUCCACGCCGUAAACGAUGAGUGCUAAGUGUUGGAGGGUUUCCGCCCUUCAGUGCUGCAGUUAACGCAUUAAGCACUCCGCCUGGGGAGUACGACCGCAAGGUUG